AGUAACGCGUGGAUAACCUGCCUCACACAGGGGGAUAACAGUUAGAAAUGACUGCUAAUACCGCAUAAGCGCACAGUCUCGCAUGGGACAGUGUGAAAAACUGAGGUGGUGUGAGAUGGAUCCGCGUCUGAUUAGGCAGUUGGCGGGGUAACGGCCCACCAAACCGACGAUCAGUAGCCGGCCUGAGAGGGUGAACGGCCACAUUGGGACUGAGACACGGCCCAAACUCCUACGGAAGGCAGCAG
rnacentral:rRNA from 1 species